rnacentral:tRNA from 1 species
CGGGGUGUAGUUUAAAGGUAGAAUGCGCGGCUGGGGGUCGUGUGGCUGGAGUUCGAUUCUCCGCACCCCGA